rnacentral:misc_RNA from 1 species
GAUGAAGAACGCAGUGAAAUGCGAUAAGUAGUGUGAAUUGCAGAAUUCAGUGAAUCAUCGAAUCUUUGAACGCACAUUGCGCCCCAUGGUAUUCCGUGGGGCAUGCCUGUUCGAGCGUCAUUUACCCCCUCAAGCUCCGCUUGGUGUUGGGCGUCUGUCCCGCUUCGCGCGCGGACUCGCCCCAAAGGUAUUGGCAGCGGUCGUACCAGCUUCUCGCGCAGCACAUUGCGCUUCUCGAGGCACCGGUGGGCCCGCGUCCAUCAAGCUCACCCCCCCAGUUUGACCUCGGAUCAGGUAGGGAUACCCGCUGAACUUAAGCAUAUCAAUAAGCGGAGGA